GCGUUUAUUUAUUUCUAAGUCUGAUUUAGUUCUCAUAAUCUAAUCUGAACUAGAACUAAUGCUCUACUUAAUUAUUAUCAAUGGCCAAUACAAAGUCUAGCACGAGAGUAAAGCACUAGCAUCCUACUUUUGCAGAUUCUAAAAAUAAACUUUGCAAACAUAGUUACAAGCUCCUUCACGUACUUUAAUAUUAGAAAGAAAAAACAAAAAUCACAAAAACGCAUUCAUCACAGUAGUGAUUUGGUAUCACUUACUGGUAUUCACAUAUCCUCCAUUUUGAGAUGCUCACAAAUUACUACAUCAAUGAAGCAUGAAAAUUAGACUCCUUCAAUCCAACACCAUUGGUAAAAGUUAACAAAUCUGUCAUGCUAAUCCAACUCUAAAGCAAAGUGUAAGUGAAAUCUUCAAAAAUCCAAUACAAAGCAUAGUAUUUCAUGUACCCAGUGACAAUUAAUAAAAUCAUUUCCAAGAACAUUGAACAAUUUCAAACAAUUCCUAACUAAAUCACAGACGGUAGAGACAUCCUUUCAGUAAACCAACUUUUGUUCAUACCGUGAAUUGGCUAUUUGAAGCAAACAAUCACCCAUACUUACUCAUUUAUUGAACAAUAACAAUCCAACAAACAAAGAUAAUAAAAUUACUCUCUAUCAAACCAACACGAAGAUGCAGAUUGACAAUAACCAGAAUUAGCUGAGAAAAUCAACACUGAUACAAUGGUAUUAUAUCGAACAGACUAAUGGACUUAAACACUCACCAUAUCUACCAUUUCCAUCGGCUUGCCGGGAAAACAGAACAAUCCACGUGAAAUCAUUCCCUUAGAUAAUUCAUUCGAUGCAAUUAACAACAAUUAAGAGUUCAAAUCGAGCAUAUAGAUGCAAAAGGGAACAGUAGACUAAUCUUGAAACAUAUUCAACAGGAGAACAAUUCAAUAUCAACGCACUCAGAUGAAAACUCGAUCAUAUUAUACCAAAAAAUCAAACGAACACAGAGUGACCCAAAACAAUAUCAAUCUCAAUGCACUCAGAUGAAAACUCGAUCAUAUUAUACCAAAAAAUCAAACGAACACAGAGCGACCCAGAACAAUAAUGAUAAAACAAACUAGGAAAAGAGAAGAACCUUUGUAUUAAUGAAUCAAUCACAAAAUCGAGAUGACAGGCGAAAUAGUUGAACAACGACCGAAAAACCACUAAAGGCUACCUCGACGAACUUGACGGAUGGAGCUCAGCAAAAUUUCAGCCACAUCCAACAACUCUAACUGACAGAAAAUCACACGAAGUUCCAGAAAAAAAUUGAAGCAAAGGAGUGGAAAUUUGAAUAGCCUUCAAACACUUUAUUUUUCUGUUUUUCGCUCAUUUUUCCUUUUGAAUCUCACCAUUUCUCUUAUAUGUGUUUUCUUUUAAUUUGAUGAAAAGAUGGCUACAAAGAUGGGGGAAGGGAAAGCGACAAUUUCGGAUUUUUUUGAAAGGCUCUCACAACUGGUUUGUUGAAAAGAAUGUGACGAAGGGAGAAGAAAAUUCAUAUCCAAAAAUGGGGACCCCCUUUAUUUUGUUUUGGCAAAUGGUUUUACAGAGUGUAUGGGGUGAGGUGUUAUGUGGGGGAGUUUUAUCUGAGGGAAGGUGUUAUGUGAGGUAACAUUUUGGGGGAAAGGUUUUAGGUGGGAUAAUAUUUUGGGGAAGAUACUUUGGAGAAGGUUCUUCCCAUUUUGCAUUUCUUUUUA
rnacentral:lncRNA from 1 species